UGGUACUUUAGUACCAGCCAAGGAGGGUUUUUUUUUUUUUUUUAAAGUUCAGGUGGGAAUUUAGUGGUUUAUAGCUUCUUUUUUUUUUUUUUCCGGAGCUGGGGACCGAACCCAGGUCCUUGCGCUUUCUAGGCAAGCGCUCUACCACUGAGCUAAAUCCCCAACCCCGGUUUAUAGCUUUUAUACUAGGACCUGGGAGAUUAAAGCAAGAGGGCCAUGAGUUUGAUGUUUGCCUGGAUUACACAAGACCUCAUCUCACUUCCUACCCACCACCACAAUCUCUCAAAAGUUCAAUUUGAAACUGCUUAGAAAGAGAAAAAAAAUAAAGUUGAACCCAUUAAAUUAUAUACAUGAAGCACAUGCGUUUUCAUGUAUCAGUUGUACUCCAGUCAAGCUGGCAGAAGACACAUCAUGGAGUAGGAGUUUUCUAAAGGAAAAAACAUGAUAGACACUUGAUUGUAGCAUUAACUGUGUUUGGGGAAGUCUGAUUUGUACCUCAUAAACACAUCUGAGUAAACAUUUGGCUACCUUUUAGUGGACUAGAUAGCUCUUAAUCCAAUCAGGCUUCCUUUCCAGACUGGUUUCUGGUAGAUUGAAAGAUGUCUAGGCUAUACUUCUCUUAUAUAAAGUUCCACUUGUAUAUGAUCUUAGAUUUUUUUUUCUUUUAAAGUGUUAAUGGCCAACAGUCUGUAGAAACUGAAUCCUUGGUGGAUACAGGAUCCUCAGUAAGGUCUCACAAGAAUGCCUUAUCUCCGUUGAAAAGCAGACGUCUUCAGCCAGAUUUCAAUAGGA
rnacentral:lncRNA from 1 species